UGUAGUACUUUUUGAAGUCUUUUC
rnacentral:piRNA from 1 species